GUGAGGAAUAUUGCGCAAUGGAGGUAACUCUGACGCAGCCAUGCCGCGUGCAGGAAGAAGGCGCUACGCGUUGUAAACUGCUUUUAACCGGGAAGAAACCCCAGGACGUGUCCUGGGUUGACGGUACCGGAGGAAUAAGCACCGGCUAACUUCGUGCCAGCAGCCGCGGUAAUACGAAGGGUGCAAGCGUUAUCCGGAUUCAUUGGGUUUAAAGGGUGCGUAGGCGGAGCGUUAAGUCAGUGGUGAAAUCCUGCAGCUUAACUGUAGACUUGCCAUUGAUACUGGCGCUCUUGAGUGCGCUUGAAGUGGGCGGAAUGUGCCGUGUAGCGGUGAAAUGCUUAGAUAUGGCACAGAACACCAAUUGCGAAGGCAGCUCACUAAGGCGAUACUGACGCUGAGGCACGAAAGCGUGGGGAUCGAACAGGAUUAGAAACCCGAGUAGUCC
rnacentral:rRNA from 1 species